UACGUAGGGUGCAAGCGUUGUCCGGAAUCACUGGGCUUAAAGCGUGUGUAGGCGGGCGGGCAAGUACCUUGUGAAAUCCCACGGCUCAACCGUGGAACGGCUGGGUAUACUGCCUGUCUUGAGCCAACUAGGGGCGAGCGGAACAGACGGUGGAGCGGUGAAAUGCGUAGAUAUCGUCUGGAACGCCAAAGGUGAAAACAGCUCGCUGGGGUUGUGCUGACGCUGAGACACGAAAGCCAGGGGAGCGAACGGG
rnacentral:rRNA from 1 species